rnacentral:lncRNA from 1 species
CCUGGAACAAACCAGGGAUGCUCCUGGGACUGGAUUUUGCGAAUGCCUGAUUAAGGAGGCUGGAAUGUAAGACUGGCUAACAAGAAUCCAUCGGCUGGAGGGCACUUUCUUGAGACACAAGAUUUAAUAUCCUAGCGAGGAUACCAGGGGAUGGGGCAGACUCUGCUAGGGUGGCUCUUAGAAGUCUGGAAAAAGUAGUGGCUAACACUCAGUGCAGUGGAAAUACCUGAGUUCUCCUGGCAGAUGGUAGAGAAGAAGUUAAAAAAGCUGAGGAAAGUGGACACGCUGGAACGGAUUUGUUAUCUAAGGCCGGUAAUGACAGGCAAGGACAGAGGGGCAGGCAAGGGGGCUUGACCCACAGAAAGCUGUGGAGAUGGUGAAUGGAGCAGGGUAUCCCCAGGAGCAAACCAGAGGGGCAGCCAAGAAGCCUCUGCUUAAUAUCUACAGCCAGAAAAGCAGACAGGAGUGGAGGAGCAGAAGGCAGGGGCAAUAGGAAGUCACCGUCCCUUGCUCAGUUCCCAGACCUGAACCAAUUUUCAGAUAUGAAACCCGCUGACCGAAGAGGUGGCCAGAUCUCUAGGAAUAGGACCCUGCCAAACCUCAAUCUGACCUCUGCAGAAAUUGGACGGAUCCUGGAGGAAGACCGUAGACCGCCACGGCUUAACCAAGGGGGAGCCCUGCUGGCAGCUGCUGUGCCUGAUGUGGAGUCCUUGCCGGAGCAGGUUCACGAGGCCUUAGAGAUCAGGACCGUGAUCCCACAGAACAUCACCCUGAUCCACUGCAUCGCUGCGCCAUGCUGGUUAGACAGGAUGAGCAAGAGGUGUCCCUAUGCUGGAAGCCGCGGCUAAGUCACACGCACUCCCGAG